rnacentral:rRNA from 2 species
CACACAGUAAACGAUGAAUACUCGCUGUUUGCGAUAUACAGUAAGCGGCCAAGCGAAAGCAUUAAGUAUUCCACCUGGGGAGUACGCCGGCAACGGUGAAACUCAAAGGAAUUGACGGGGGCCCGCACAAGCGGAGGAACAUGUGGUUUAAUUCGAUGAUACGCGAGGAACCUUACCCGGGCUUGAAUUGCAGAGGAACAUAGUUGAAAGAUUAUGGCCGCAAGGUCUCUGUGAAGGUGC